AUUGAACGCUGGCGGCAUGCUUUACACAUGCAAGUCGAACGGUAACAGGCCGCAAGGUGCUGACGAGUGGCGAACGGGUGAGUAAUGCAUCGGAACGUGCCCAGUCGUGGGGGAUAACGCAGCGAAAGCUGUGCUAAUACCGCAUACGAUCUAUGGAUGAAAGCGGGGGACCGUAAGGCCUCGCGCGAUUGGAGCGGCCGAUGUCAGAUUAGGUAGUUGGUGGGGUAAAGGCCUACCAAGCCGACGAUCUGUAGCUGGUCUGAGAGGACGACCAGCCACACUGGGACUGAGACACGGCCCAGACUGCUACGGGAGGCAGCAGUGGGGAAUUUUGGACAAUGGGCGCAAGCCUGAUCCAGCAAUGCCGCGUGCAGGAAGAAGGCCUUCGGGUUGUAAACUGCUUUUGUACGGAGCGAAACGGUCUGGGUUAAUACCCUGGGCUAAUGACGGUACCGUAAGAAUAAGCACCGGCUAACUACGUGCCAGCCGCCGCAGUAAGAC
rnacentral:rRNA from 1 species